rnacentral:lncRNA from 10 species
UUUUUAUUGGCCAGAGCCCAGUCACAUGACCCCAACUUAACUGCAAGGGAUGCUGGGCAAUAUAGUCCAGUAGUGUGGCUAGCAGGAAAAUUAAAGGGGUUUGGUGAAUCCAUUGCUCCUGCCAUCACCCAGAUUAAAGACCUGCCCUCUCAUCCGCAGUCAGGGAUUGAGUGGGCAAGCACUGUGGGCUGCAGACACCAAGCUCCACCAUGAUUCCCCCUCCACUCUCAGAGGCUCCAUCCAGCUGGCAGGCUCACAGCACUGCAGCCCAGCAUCUGAAGUGGUACUGUCCCUAGGCUGAUGACUGUCACAUUUUUAGUGGGGCCAAAACUUUCCUCCAAGAUUCAGAUGUGUGUCACCAACUAGAGAGCAGGCUUGGAAUUUAAAAAUAAAGUUUUCAAUUCUUAAUACUUGAAUUAAAAGGAGAAUGGUCAUUAAACAGAAACUGCUGCUAAAAGUGACAAGCAACUUAGCAAUACACAUUAGGAGCAAAGAUUAUAAUUUAUGCAGCAUAUUUUCAUAUACAGGCAAAUCUGAGAUAGAAGGAAAAACAAAUGGCUUGGAAUAAAACAAAAUCCUUAAAAUGUGUAAGUCUCUGACCUCAGAUAGAACUUCAGUAUGAACCAGCUGCAGAACAGCAUCUUGGGGCCAGUGGGUUGGGGAGGUUUACUGUUGAUUUGCUAUUAUUCUGUGAGUUGGGUUGUAUUCACACU